rnacentral:tRNA from 1 species
CGGAAGUGGCUCAGUGGUAGAGCAUCUCCUUGCCAAGGAGAAGGUCGCGGGUUCGAAUCCCGUCUUCCG